UACGGGGGGGGCAAGCGUUGUUCGGAAUUACUGGGCGUAAAGGGCUCGUAGGUGGCCAACUAAGUCAGACGUGAAAUCCCUCGGCUUAACCGGGGAACUGCGUCUGAUACUGGAUGGCUUGAGUUUGGGAGAGGGAUGCGGAAUUCCAGGUGUAGCGGUGAAAUGCGUAGAUAUCUGGAGGAACACCGGUGGCGAAGGCGGCCUGCUGGGCAGUAGCUGACGCUGAUGCGCGACAGCGUGGGGAGCAAACAGG
rnacentral:rRNA from 1 species